rnacentral:rRNA from 1 species
AAUCUUGGACAAUGGUGGCAACCCUGAUCCAGCCAUCCCGCGUGUGCUAUGAAGGCCUUCGGGUUGUAAAGCACUUUUGGCAGGGAAGAAACAGCCUGGGCGACUACCCUCGGCGUCUGACGGUACCUGCAGAAUAUGCACCGGCUAACUCCGCUCCAGCAGCCGCGGUAAUACGUAGGGUGCAAGCGUUCAUCGGAAUUACUGGGCGUAAAGCGUGCGCAGGCGGUUCGGAAAGAAAGGUGUGAAAUCCCAGGGCUCAACCUUGGAACUGCACUUUUAACUGCCGGGCUAGAGUACGUCAGAGGGGGGUAGAAUUCCACGUGUAGCAGUGAAAUGCGUAGAGAUGUGGAGGAAUACCGAUGGCGAAGGCAGCCCCCUGGGAUGAUACUGACGCUCAUGCACGAAAGCGUGGGGAGCAAAC